GGAAGCUGAGCCGGACAAGGUUUAGGGGACUUGUAUUCAACAGAGUGGUCAGAAAGGCCCCUCUAAGGUGCACCAUAAAAGUCGAGAUGUGAAACUGUGAAGAAGCCAGCCAGGUGGAGACGGCUGAGGGGAAACCGCAUGUGAGGAAGCCCAGAGGCAGUGAUGGGGUUGGUGCAUUGUGGAGAUCAUCCCAAAGUCAGCGGAGAAGGGACGCGGUGGCUGAGGGGACUGGGCAGGGCUGCAGCACGAGCCUGCGGAAACCAAGUCACAGUGGGUGCUCUGGGCCCUGGUAAGGAAGAAGCAUUGGAACUAAGAGCUUUUGGUCCUGGAUAAGCCUCUCCCACGCCAGUCUCCUCCCAGCUGCAGAUUCCCUGUGGUGGACAUCUAACCCGGGCCUGCCCUGUACUUCUGAAAUGUCAGGUGGAGCUCUGGGAUGGGAUGAGCAGCUGCUUUGAAAAACUAGGACAUGGGUGAAGCUCAGCUUGAGGGUGGAGUUUCCACCUCCUUGGAUGAAUUCUCCUUCAUGGGAGGCUCAAAUGCCCACUCUGUCCACCUGGCUGCAGAAGCCGUUCUUAGGACUCGGGUAGAUGAUGCUGUGUUAACUAGGGACUCCAAAUUUCAGGGGUUUCCUCCAGCUGAUGUGGGUCUGGCAGCCGUCAUUCAUGUAGUAACUCAGCAAAUCUGGCUGCUUUGAUUUUUGUGGUGUCACCAUGACUUCCUGAGGCUCCUGGGUCCCUGUGGCAAGAACGAAGAGAUGGAGGAUGAAAUGUCACUCUUAAGUGUUGUUCACAGUCCAUUUGAUACGCGUGAGCAUUUAUGCCUCAACACCUGCUAUUAAUUAGUCCUAAGCUCUAGUUCAGUCUCUUAAGAGAAAUUGGCAUCAAAAGUCAGCACCUGAGCUUGUCACUGUAUCCUGGUUACGUUUCAUCUUAACUCUCUGAGGCAAGCACUAGUGUUCUCUCCAUUUACUCUAAAGAAGUGGAGACAGAAUGUUUUAUUAUGGACUUGUGAUUGCAAGUGUUAAAGCUUCAGGUCAAUUGGCUAAGACAAAGGAUUUAUUUGUGUAAGUAGUAAUUCUAGAGUUUCAGGGGCAGCUGAUCUAGAGCUUUAAUGAUGUCAUCAAGACUCAAUUUUAUUCCUUGGUUCUACUUUUCACUGUGUCGGUGGGCUCUUUUGAUGUGGCAGCCACAGCAGCUUUAGGUUUAUACUUUGUAAAGUAUAAAGAGAUAUUUUU
rnacentral:lncRNA from 1 species